UUGAAUCAUGGCUCAGGACGAACGCUGGCGGCGUGCUUAACACAUGCAAGUCGAACGAUGAUGCCCAGCUUGCUGGGCGGAUUAGUGGCGAACGGGUGAGUAACACGUGGGUGAUCUGCCCUGCACUUCGGGAUAAGCCUGGGAAACUGGGUCUAAUACCGGAUAUGACCACAGGAUGCAUGUUUUGUGGUGGAAAGGUUUACUGGUGCAGGAUGAGCCCGCGGCCUAUCAGCUUGUUGGUGGGGUAAUGGCCUACCAAGGCGACGACGGGUAGCCGGCCUGAGAGGGCGACCGGCCACACUGGGACUGAGACACGGCCCAGACUCCUACGGGAGGCAGCAGUGGGGAAUAUUGCACAAUGGGCGAAAGCCUGAUGCAGCGACGCCGCGUGAGGGAUGACGGCCUUCGGGUUGUAAACCUCUUUCAGCAGGGACGAAGCGCAAGUGACUGUACCUGCAGAAGAAGCACCGGCUAACUACGUGCCAGCAGCCGCGGUAAUACGUAGGGUGCGAGCGUUGUCCGGAAUUACUGGGCGUAAAGAGUUCGUAGGCGGUUUGUCGCGUCGUGUGUGAAAUCCCGCAGCUCAACUGCGGGCUUGCAGGCGAUACGGGCAGACUUGAGUACUGCAGGGGAGACUGGAAUUCCUGGUGUAGCGGUGAAAUGCGCAGAUAUCAGGAGGAACACCGGUGGCGAAGGCGGGUCUCUGGGCAGUAACUGACGCUGAGGAACGAAAGCGUGGGUAGCGAACAGGAUUAGAUACCCUGGUAGUCCACGCCGUAAACGGUGGGCGCUAGGUGUGGGUUUCCUUCCACGGGAUCCGUGCCGUAGCUAACGCAUAAGCGCCCCGCC
rnacentral:rRNA from 1 species